CUGUCAGUAUGUCGGCACACUGACAAUAGUAACAAGACCAGAAAAAGAAGCAGAAUCUGUCAAUCACCUCUAUUGGCUGAGGAGGAGAGCGGGUUAUCUUGUCAUGAUUCACCUCAGCCGAAUGAUUCUGAUAUUCCAUUAUGUUUUGCUGGGAGAAGUGGUAUGUAUAAUAAGGUUGAACAAGCUUAUCAGCUCGUUAACUCCUACCCCAGUAACCUGUCACUGUCUAUAUUUAGUAAUGUUGGCAGUCCAGAAUCCAUACUGAAGAGUUCAGCUCUAAGUUACAGAAAUACACCUUCUAUCAUACGAAGGAAAGGAUUUAGAGAUGUAGCUAGUGCAAUUUGCUCUAGCACUCCAAUGCUCGUUCUCUCAGGCGCUGCUGAAAGAAAAUACGGUGACUGCUCAAAUUUGACUAGUGAGAGAGGUUGCUUGACUCCCCACGAUUCUGGAUCUGGUUCACCAGUUAUUGGACAAGCUGUGGAAAGACGCCUGGAAUAUGCAUUUGAUUUAGAGUGGGAUUCAAGCUCUGUUAAAUGUAACACUCCAGGAUCUGCAUCAGAACUUAAAGCUGAUAAAAAGAUAAUGUUGACUCCAUGAAAAUGAAUCUAUAGGAGAAGGGAACGAUGAUCGUACAAGGCUUGACAUUAUUUUGGGUGAGGUGCAUUUCUUGAAAUAUAGGUUUCUCUCCAGUUGUCAACAUCUGUAAAUGGCUCAACAAAAGGGAAUACAUUUACACUGACUAUUUGGUCUGCUAAAACCAUUAAUAAAAAAAUGAUCUGCAUUUGUUUUA